UACGGAAGGUGGCAAGCGUUGUUCGGAUUUACUGGGCGUAAAGCGCACGUAGGCGGCUUUGUAAGUUAGAGGUGAAAGCCCAGGGCUUAACCCUGGAAUUGCCUUUAAGACUGCAUCGCUAGAAUCGUGGAGAGGUGAGUGGAAUUCCGAGUGUAGAGGUGAAAUUCGUAGAUAUUCGGAAGAACACCAGUGGCGAAGGCGACUCACUGGACACGUAUUGACGCUGAGGUGCGAAAGCGUGGGGAGCAAACAGG
rnacentral:rRNA from 1 species